UACAGAGGGUGCGAGCGUUAAUCGGAAUCACUGGGCGUAAAGGGCGCGUAGGCGGCCGGCCAAGUCGGGGGUGAAAGCCUGUGGCUCAACCACAGAAUGGCCCUCGAUACUGGACGGCUCGAGACCGGAAGAGGUUGGUGGAAUUGCGAGUGUAGAGGUGAAAUUCGUAGAUAUUCGCAAGAACACCGGUGGCGAAGGCGGCCAACUGGUCCGGAUCUGACGCUGAGGCGCGAAAGCGUGGGGAGCAAACAGG
rnacentral:rRNA from 1 species